rnacentral:rRNA from 1 species
UAGUCCACGCCUUAAACGAUGUUUACUAGUGUCGGGGUUUUAAUUAACUUGGUAACGCAGCUAACGCGUGAAGUAGACCGCCUGGGGAGUACGGUCGCAAGAUUAAAACUCAAAGGAAUUGACGGGGACCCGCACAAGCGGUGGAUGAUGUGGAUUAAUUCGAUGCAACGCGAAAAACCUUACCUACCCUUGACAUGUCAGGAAUCCUGGAGAGAUCUGGGAGUGCCCGAAAGGGAACCUGAACACAGGUGCUGCAUGGCUGUCGUCAGCUCGUGUCGUGAGAUGUUGGGUUAAGUCCCGCAACGAGCGCAACCCUUGUCAUUAGUUGCUACGCAAGAGCACUCUAAUGAGACUGCCGGUGACAAACCGGAGGAAGGUGGGGAUGACGUCAAGUCCUCAUGGCCCUUAUGGGUAGGGCUUCACACGUCAUACAAUGGUACAUACAGAGGGCCGCCAACCCGCGAGGGGGAGCUAAUCCCAGAAAGUGUAUCGUAGUCCGGAUCGUAGUCUGCAACUCGACUACGUGAAGUUGGAAUCGCUAGUAAUCGCGGAUCAGCAUGUCGCGGUGAAUACGUUCCCGGGUCUUGUACACACCGCCCGUCACACCAUGGGAGCGGGUUUUACCAGAAGUAGGUAGCUUAACCG